GGGCGCUUAGCUCAGUUGGUAGAGCAGCUGACUCUUAAUCAGCGGGCCGUAGGUUCGAAUCCUACAGCGCCCACCA
rnacentral:tRNA from 6 species